CGGUCAUAUCCUUCUUAACUUGGGAAGAAACUUUCUGACAACCUGCAAUUUGACCAGGUGUUGCAAACUUCCACCCAAUAUCUUCACUUGGUUUACCACCUCCUUGAGUAGAACUAGAACCACUUCCACGAGGCAUUUUCAAUACAAAUAUUUAAUAACUGUUCAUAAAAAUUAAAAGAUAUCAAAUGUCAAAUACAUGGAAGGCAAAUAUUUUUUUUCAUAACUAAUAUUUUAAUUUUAACCUAACUCCAUACAUUAAUUUCUAUUUAACAUAAAUUAUAUAAAUAUGAAAUUUUUAAUUGUCAGACUACAAGUCUUAGUCUACCACUAUUAAUUUAACUCAAAACUAACACUUUAAUCCACAAAAAUAAAAAAAAAAAAUUACAGCAACUAAAAAUAAAUUAAAUUCAUAAUAAUUUCUGAAAAAUAGUCUAAAUUAAACUAACAAAAACCAUACAAUUUAUAGAUCUAACAAAUUAAUAGCCUAAAAGUAUAUUUUUAACUAAAAAAUACUAAUUUAAUCAACAAAAAUUAAAAAAAAAAAUUACAGCAACUAAAAAUAAAUUAAAUUCAUAAUAAUUUCUGAAAAAUAGUCUAAAUUAAACUAACAAAAACCAUACAAUUUAUAGAUCUAACAAAUUAAUAGCCUAAAAGUAUAUUUUUAACUCAAAAAUACUAAU